CCGGNAUUUANNUAUUAUUGGGGGGGAUAGCCUCGGGGAAACUCGAAAUUAAUACCGCAUACGACCUACGGGAGAAAGGCCGUUUAGUUUACUGCUCUCGCUAUUAGAUGAGCCUAAGUCGGAUUAGCUAGAUGGUGGGGUAAAGGCCUACCAUGGCGACGAUCUGUAGCUGGUCUGAGAGGAUGAUCAGCCACACCGGGACUGAGACACUGCCCGGACUCCUACGGGAGGCAGCAGUGGGGAAUAUUGGACAAUGGGGGCAACCCUGAUCCAGCCAUGCCGCGUGUGUGAAGAAGGCCUUUUGGUUGUAAAGCACUUUAAGCAGUGAAGAAGACUCCAUGGUUAAUACCCAUGGACGAUGACAUUAGCUGCAGAAUAAGCACCGGCUAACUCUGUGCCAGCAGCCGCGGUAAUACAGAGGGUGCAAGCGUUAAUCGGAAUUACUGGGCGUAAAGCGAGCGUAGGUGGCUUGAUAAGUCAGAUGUGAAAUCCCCGGGCUUAACCUGGGAACUGCAUCUGAUACUGUUAGGCUAGAAUAGGUGAGAGGAAGGUAGAAUUCCAGGUGUAGCGGUGAAAUGCGUAGAGAUCUGGAGGAAUACCGAUGGCGAAGGCAGCCUUCUGGCAUCAUAUUGACACUGAGGUUCGAAAGCGUGGGUAGCAAACAGGAUUAGAUACCCUGGUAGUCCACGCCGUAAACGAUGUCUACUAGUCGUUGGGUCCCUUGAGGACUUAGUGACGCAGCUAACGCAAUAAGUAGACCGCCUGGGGAGUACGGCCGCAAGGUUAAAACUCAAAUGAAUUGACGGGGGCCCGCACAAGCGGUGGAGCAUGUGGUUUAAUUCGAUGCAACGCGAAGAACCUUACCUGGUCUUGACAUAUCUAGAAUCCUGCAGAGAUGCGGGAGUGCCUUCGGGAAUUAGAAUACAGGUGCUGCAUGGCUGUCGUCAGCUCGUGUCGUGAGAUGUUGGGUUAAGUCCCGCAACGAGCGCAACCCUUGUCCUUAGUUACCAGCGGGUUAAGCCGGGAACUCUAAGGAUACUGCCAGUGACAAACUGGAGGAAGGCGGGGACGACGUCAAGUCAUCAUGGCCCUUACGACCAGGGCUACACACGUGCUACAAUGGUAGGUACAGAGGGCAGCUACACAGCGAUGUGAUGCGAAUCUCAAAAAGCCUAUCGU
rnacentral:rRNA from 1 species